UACAGAGGGUGCAAGCGUUAAUCGGAAUUACUGGGCGUAAAGCGUGCGUAGACGGUCAUGUAAGUCGGGUGUGAAAGCCCCGGGCUCAACCUGGGAAUUGCCUUCGAUACUGAUAGUCUUGAGUCCGGGAGAGGUGAGUGGAAUUCCUAGUGUAGAGGUGAAAUUCGUAGAUAUUAGGAAGAACACCAGUGGCGAAGGCGGCUCACUGGCCCGGUACUGACGCUCAUGUGCGAAAGCGUGGGGAGCAAACAGG
rnacentral:rRNA from 1 species